rnacentral:rRNA from 1 species
CCUACGGGUGGCUGCAGUGGGGAAUAUUGGACAAUGGGCGGAAGCCUGAUCCAGCAAUACCGCGUGUGUGAAGAAGGCCUGAGGGUUGUAAAGCACUUUCAAUAGGAAGGAAUACCUAUCCAUUAAUACUGGGUAGACUGACAUUACCUAUACAAGAAGCACCGGCUAACUCCGUGCCAGCAGCCGCGGUAAUACGGCGGGUGCAAGCGUUAAUCGGAAUUACUGGGAGUAAAGUGGGCGAGUGCGAUUCGAAAGCCCCGGGCUUAACCUGGGAAUGGCAUUUGAUACUGGCGAGCUAGAGUUGAGUAGAGGGGAGUGGAAUUUCAGGUGUAGCGGUGAAAUGCGUAGAGAUCUGAAGGAACACCAGUGGCGAAGGCGACUCCCUGGACUCAAACUGACGCUGAGGUACGAAAGCGUGGGUAGCAAACAGGAUUAGAUACCCUAGUAGUC